rnacentral:rRNA from 1 species
UACGGGGGGAGCAAGCGUUGUUCGGAUUUACUGGCGUAAAGGGCGCGUAGGCGGUCAGCACAAGUCAGUUGUGAAAUCUCCGGGCUUAACUCGGAAAGGUCAACUGAUACUGUGCGACUAGAGUGCAGAAGGGGCAACUGGAAUUCUCGGUGUAGCGGUGAAAUGCGUAGAUAUCGAGAGGAACACCUGCGGCGAAGGCGGGUUGCUGGGCUGACACGUGACGCUGAGGCGCGAAAGCCAGGGGAGCGAACGGG